UGCAACCACUAGGGGUGCUAUGUCCUUUUCUAAUGCGCUUUUAAAAGACACAGCUGAGAGAGCAAAAGCUUAACCCUUUGAACCUGAUCAGAUUGUUUAUCUGCGUAGGGAAAGUGAGCCAAUCUAAUU
rnacentral:ncRNA from 2 species